AUCGAACGCACAUGCGCUGCAGUGACUUUGUGCACGGCGUGCUCAGCACGGUCGGCCCGCACGCGGCGUUAGUUGAGUGUGUUCCGUUGGUGUGUACGCAGCUCUACGUUUCUCUGUUUACCUGUGUGAUGAAGUGCCGUCGGCCAUCUUCCAAUUGUAAUUGAAGAAAUACCAGUGAGGGCCAGUGACGUUCCAUGAGUUACCAUUCACGGGGAGAGAGUUCAUGGUGUCGAUUCAUGCGAACAAUUCUGGUUAUAAUGCAAGUCCAUUCCCUGAUAUGUUUCCUACUUGGCAUCAAUACUUGUCCUACGAUUCUCAAUCACAGGAUUUUCACUCCUGGGAUUUUGCACCUGACUCUAACAUCGUAGAAGGACCAUUCUUGUUCAGAUUGUUAGUAAUAAAUUUCAUGAUGUUAAAUAACUUUUGUAAUUAUUACACAAAUUGUCUCCCAACAUUUAUGCUUGUGUGUUUUCUUUAAUAAAGAAUAUUUUUAAAUUUU